CCUGGCUAUCAUUGUAAAUUAGAGCCAGGUGCAGGGUACUUAAGGAGAGCAGUCAGUCUGCUCAGGGCUGCUGCUGUGUGAAGAGCCUAACUGUGUGUCGUUAAAAGGAAAAAAAGUUGCAAGCUCCUGUUAUGAAACUACAGAGUACACAAUGCACCCGACCGGACCCUGUUGCAGUGUCAAAAUAUUAUUUUUCAGAGAUUGUCUAAGAAAAAGGUCUACAGUGGAGCUACCACAUCCAUAGUGCCGGAGGACAACAUAGAUCCGAGUGGCUUCUACAGCAGACCCGCAGGUGACCUGGUCAGCCACAGGAGUCGCUGGUGAAACUGGAGGAAGCGGUGUGUAACUGCACAAUAAAAGACGGACGGAUUUGCGCAUGCGAACCAAACGCAAAAUAAGACAAAAAAUGCUGACCUUUACGGAUGUAACAUUGAAGAGAUGGGCUUUGUAUCAACUCGUGACGGAGUCGGAAAUCGCAUGUGACGGCAAAGAAAGCUCAGGGAAUACCGCAGAGUGAAUAACAUCCGCAACAGGCCAUGUUAAAGAGCUG